rnacentral:rRNA from 1 species
GAGUCCCUAGGGGGGCAGCAGUGGGGGAUAUUGCACAAUGGGGGAAACCCUGAUGCAGCAACGCCGCGUGAGUGAAGAAGUAUUUCGGUAUGUAAAGCUCUAUCAGCAGGGAAGAGAAUGACGGUACCUGACUAAGAAGCCCCGGCUAACUACGUGCCAGCAGCCGCGGUAAUACGUAGGGGGCAAGCGUUAUCCGGAUUUACUGGGUGUAAAGGGAGCGUAGGUGGCAUGGUAAGCCAGAAGUGAAAACCCAGGGCUCAACUCUGUGGAUUGCUUUUGGAACUAUCAAGCUAGAGUGCUGGAGG